rnacentral:lncRNA from 1 species
CACAUCUUCCUUAUCCAUUCAUCCAUCUAUGAUACCUGGAUUGCUUCCAACUUGUGUUGACUGUGAAUAAAGCUGCUCUGAACAGGGUGGACAACUAUCUCUUGGAGAUCCUGCUUUCAAUUAUUUGGGGUACAUACCCAGAAGUGGAACUGCUAUAUCACAUGGUGAUUCUAUUUAAAAGUUUUUGAGGAACCACCAUACUGUUUUGCACAGCAGCUGUACCAGUUUACAUCCCCACCAACAGCACAAGGGUUCCAAUUUUUCCAUAUCCUUAUUAUUUUCUGGUAUGUUUACAGGAGCCAUCCUAAAGGGCAUGAGGUGGUUCUCAGUGAGAUAUUUUUGACCAAAGUAAAAUUCUUAGCUCAGAAUUGUAAGGAUACCUGAAAGCUAUGACUUUGCAAUGACUCAGUGAUGGAACCCAUUCUGAGGAAAGUUAGAUUUAAAGUAGAGGGUUUGAUAAGUUAAGACAAUGAGUUGUUAUGUUGGUGGUGAUGACACACUAACAUGUUGCUUUCCAUGUUUAUGGGGAACCAUGCUGAUAAAGCAGAAUAAGAGUUUUGAUUGACUUUAAGGAGGAAUGACUUGCAAAUGACUGAGGCAAUUAUCCGAUGAUCUUCCUCUCUGAAGGGAAGAUGGUCUUCUAUGCCUGGAUGCUUUCUUGGCAAGACGGAGGGCUUUGGGGAUUCUGGCCCACUUCCUAGCAAGUUAACCUCUCUGAGCUUGCUUCCUCAUCUCUAAAGUAGCCACAAUUGCAGCUGCCUUCUUGUGUGAUCAUAGGGAAUAAACAGGAUAAUAUACAGUGGUGGCUACCACUUGUGUUGCCCAAUUUUUUUUUUCAGGAAUAAAGAAUAAAGAAUAUAGACCCAGGAGUUCCCAUCGUGGCUCAGUGGUUAACGAACGUGAUAAGCAUCCAUGAGGAUGCGGGUUCAACUUCUGGCCUUGCUCAGUGGGUCGGGGAUCCAGAGUUGCCGUGAGCUGUGGAGUAGGUUGCAGACGCGGCUCNUCGGAUCCUGUGUUGCUGUGACUGUGGUGUAGGCUAGCAGCUGCAGCUCCAAUUCGACCCCUAGCCUGGGAACGUGCUGCAAGUGAGGUCCUAAAAAGACAAAAGAUUAAAAAAAAACAAAAAAACAAAAAAACCCAUAGACCCAGGUGUUGGAAGUGCUGUCAGCUGACUUCCUUCAGCUACCAGUCCCCUCAGGUAUGGCCUCAGCUGCAGAGCUGCCUGGGCCAAGGUCAUGUCCCUUCCCCACAUCUAAUGGCUGGUCCUAUGUGGGGAUAUGAAGGCUUAUCCAUAUUAGCCCAACUCAGGACACUCUAAAGAGUCAUCCUGUCUUCAGAACAUCCCUCAGGGUGCCUAUUCCUCUGUACUUUGUCCACAUAGAUGGUCUCAAUCUUUAAUUUAUUUUCUUUGGCUUUUUUAGGGAUGGGUUUGUGUCAUAUGGAGAUUCCCAAGCUAGGGGUAGAAUCGGAGCUGUAGCUGCUGGCCUACGUCAUAGCCACAGCGACACCAGAUCUGAGCCAUGUCUUCGACCUAUACCACAGCUCNGUUUGUGUCAUAUGGAGAUUCCCAAGCUAGGGACUGAAGAUUUUUCUUAUCUUUANAAUAAAAAGCGAUAUGUUAAGUGAUUAUCAGGACGUGCUUUUACUUGAUAAUAAUGAGACUGAAGAUUUUUCUUAUCUUUAUAGGCUGUGACUGAUCUGCUGAAUGCUGGUCUUUUUUUAAGCCCAAGAGUAGACCUGAUUCUAGAAAUACUGUAGAAAAGAUUUCAGGACAUAUAUCUAGACAAAACUUUCACUGAAAAAGAUAAUGCACCCCUAUGUUUAUAGCAGCAUUAUUCACAAUAGCCAAGACAUGGAAACAACGUAAAUGUCCACUGAAGAUGAAUGGAUUAAGAAGAUGUGGUACAUAUACACAAUGGAAUACUACUCAUCCAUAAAAAAAAUAAACUAAUUCCAUUUGCAGCAACGUGGAUGGAACCAGAGAUGCUCAUACUAAGCGAAGUAAGCCAGAAAGAGACAAAUACCAUAUGAUAUCACUUAUUUGUGGAAUCUAAAAUGUGACACAGAUGAUCCUAUUUACAAAACAGAAAUAGAUCAUGGCCAAGGAGAGCAGAUUUGUGAUUCCCAGCGGGGAGAGGGAGAGAGUGGGAUGAACAGGCAGUUCAGGGUUUUUGGAUGCAAACUGUUGUAUUUGGAAUGGAUGGGCAAUGGGGCCCUACUAUACAGCACAGGGAACUAUGUGUGAUUGGGUCACUUUGCUGUACAAGAGAAAUUGAAGAAACACUGUAAAUCAACUAUACGUUAAUGAGAAAGAAAAAAAAGAUUUCAAAUAGCCAUGUCUGGCUGGAAUGUCAGAGAGAUUAAGCUCACUUUUCCCUUUUGUUCAUUUCACACCUGACCCAGAUGUUAUCAUUCUUGGCCUUGGGGUUUGAACAGAAAGCGGAAGCAACAUGAUGUCAAGUCCUAAACUCAUUGAAGGGAUGGGAGGGAGAGGGUGCAGAGUGAUGUUCAAAAUAUGUAGCACAUGCACCUUAAUUAGAUGCCAUGUGUACAGGAAGGUGGCACAUCCUGAUGGCUUGUGAAUUCCCUAAGCAGCAGGCACCUCAUCUAGUUCCCUGGAAGCUGCUGGGGAAGGGGCCAGACUCCACAAGGGUAUUGAAGAAGGCUGGGUCUCAGUCACUGGACUUCCUAUCUCAACUUAAAUGGCAGUCCUCAUGAGUUUCAGGUGCUGUCUGGGUCCUUCUGGCUAACAUAACUGUGUUAGCUAUUUCUGGAACAGCAGAACCCCUGUUCCCCCUCCCCAGUGCCUUGACUCUGAGAAACACCAAGGCACUUUUACACAAUGUAGGUGGAUGCCAGACCCUCAGGAAUGACUGGGGUUGAAUUUUCCACCAUCCAAAUGGAUGGAAUCUUGGAAUCAAAAUUAAGUUGCUUUAAAGGAAAUAAAAAACUUCUGCAUUUAUUGUACCCCAAGUGCAUGGGCUAAGAUCUAAGCAUAUCUCUACAAAAGGGACUCUAGAAAGCCAGGAAUAACAGAAACAGAAUAUGAUGGAAGAGUUAAACAGAUCAAAUCAUGGGUGGGGGGCAAGGAUAAAUUAAGAGUUUGGGAUUAACCUAUACACACUACUAUAUAUAAAAUAGAUUAUCAACAAAGACCAUAUGGUUUAACACAGGUAACUCUGCUCAAUAGUGUGUAAUAACCUAUAUGGGAAAAGAAUCUGAAAAAGAAUAGAUAUAUGUAUAUGCAGAACUGAUUCACUUCGCUCUACACUUGAAACCAACAUAACAUUGUAAAUCAACCAUACUCCAAGAUAAAAUAAAAAUUAAUUAAAAAAAAAAACAAGAUCAAACACUAUACUAACCUUCUUACAGGGAUCAUAGCAUUGAACUUCCAUCUGUGGUACCUUGGAUACCCCAAGUCAGCCCAGAUGGGAUGACCAGGUGGCUUGUCCUCCACAUCCCCCAACCCCCGCCUCAUCCUACCUCACUGUAGUUACUACAUAACUACAUAGCAAUAAAGCACUACAUAAUUUAUCACUAUGUAAAUUCCCUCUUUGUUCCAAAACCUGGAAGCUCUUCAUCUCAUGAUACUUCAGUCUUUGGCUAAGACAUUAUCUUUGACCCAUCAAUUCUAUCUUCUUUAGAAGGAUACAGUUGGUUCUGGAAGUUCACAGGAACAAAAUUAUUCCAAAUAAACAUGUCACCUUUGAGUUUUACUUGGUGAUGCCAUUAUCCUGAAUAAGACCGGUCUCACACAAGCUUUGUCAUCUGUUAGGAAGAUGGUUCCCACCUCCAAUCAUCAUCUACUCACAUCUCAAAUUCCAUCCCAGCCAUGGGUUUGAGGACCAAACCUCUUUCUACAUGUUCUCUUUUAAAACUCAAAUACCUCCAGAAAUCUGGCAUAAAAUCCUAACAUUUUAUGGAGUUCCCGUCGUGGCGCAGUGGUUAACAAAGCCGACUAGGAACCAUGAGGUUGCGGGUUCGGUCCCUGCCCUUGCUCAGUGGGUUAACGAUCUGGCGUUGCCGUGAGCUGUGGUGUAGGUUGCAGACGCGGCUCGGAUCCCGCGUUGCUGUGGCUCUGGCGUAGGCCGGUGGCUACAGCUCCGAUUCAACCCCUAGCCUGGGAACCUCCAUAUGCCAUGGGAGCGGCCCAAGAAAUAGCAACAACAACAACAAAAAAGACAAAAGACAAAAAAAAAAAAAAUCCUAACAUUUUAGUGGAGACAUUUCCUCUCUAUUGAUAGGAGAAAUGGAACAGCUCAGGUUGCUGCUAUAUUGUGGGUUCAAUCCCUGGCCUGAGAAAUUCCACAUACCAUGGGCAUGCCCCCCCCCCAAAAUGGGGACAGAAAAGCAAAAGGGUCAUGGGAGGUGUUUAACAGUGACACAAAGUGACAUAAGCCAAACCCGGCCUUUUGCCAGAGUGGGCACUGCGCCCACGUGCACUAGAGCAGUUGCACCUGCUGCUAAAAUACUGAAAAACUGUCAUAUCAGUGGGUAGACAGCUGUUGUCCUGAGCACCUCCACCAAACCCCCCAUGCCCAGUGCUGCCUCUCCAUCCCAGCUGCUCCAGUCUCUUUCCUGGGAGCUCUCCCCACCUUUUCCCCAAGCCAGCAACCAAAGGGGACCUGCCCCAGCACCAUGGACACACCAAGCCUCACUGGCUAUUCAACAUCUCAAUAUCACUUGCUUCCAACAAUCGUCAGGUGAACAACAAAAGCAAGUUUCAGAAUACAUUCUGCUACUGAUUCAAACAGUUAUUGGCAACAGACAGCUAAGUCAGUCAUCUAACUUGGUCUGAUCAUCUGAGAGAAUUUCUCCUCUCUGUCUUUUGCCACCCUGCGGCAGGAAAUGGUGACCUGAGAGCAGGUGAAUCUUUUCAUUUGAUCCAGCCACAGGGUCCUUGUCAAUGAGGGUCCCUGGACCUAGAAUGCCAGGCUAUAGGGGUCUGGUGGCUGCGUUUGCUUCUGUGUUGUAUAUACACAGAGAGCUCUGCUCACAUACUCUUUUUAGCCAACUGCAAUCUCUUUUUUUAAAUUUUUCUUUUCACAGCCACACACACGGAAGUUCCCACACUAGGGGUCAAAUCACAGCUGCAGCUGUAGGCCUACACCACAGCCACAGCAGCACUGGAUCCAAGCCACACCUGUCACCUAUGCUGUAGCUUGUGGCAACACCCGAUCCUUAACUCAUUGAGUGAGGCCACAGAUCCUUGAACCUGCAUCCUCAUCCACUAUGUUGAGUUCUUAACCCACUAAGCCACAGCAGGAACUCCUGCAAUUCUUAAACAACAUUCAUAUUACGGAUAAAAAUCUGUUCCUACCUUGCCCUAUGAUAAUUACAGACUUUCCAGUUUUUUUUAAUUUUGGGGUUUUUUUUUGUCUUUUUGCCAUUUCUAGGGCCGCUCCCACGGCAUAUGGAGGUUCCUAGGCUAGGGGUCUAAUUGGAGCUGUAGCCACCGGCCUACUCCAGAGCUACAGCAACAAGCGAUCUGAGCCUCGUCUACAACCUACACCACAGCUCACGGCAACGCCAGAUCGUUAACCCACUGAGCAAGGGCAGGGAUCAAACCAGCAACCUCAUGGUUCCUAUUCGGAUUCGUUAACCACUGAGCCACAAUGGGAACUCCCUGCUGCAUGUUUAUAAAGUGAUUUUAAUGCACUUGGACAAAAGUUCCUGGUGGGUGUGUUUGAAUGCUGACUAAUCACCCCUAGGGUGCAGAUUAAACUUAAUUAACACACACUGAUAUUCUGUGUUGUUGAUUAUUUUGGAAUAACAGCUUUAUCGAGAUAUAAUUCACAUAUAACAGAACUGAUCCAUAUAAAAUGUACAAUUUAAUGGCUUUUAGUAGAUUCACAGAUACACGCAACCAUCUCCAGUCAAUUUCAGAAUAUUUGCAUCACCUCAAAAAAAGCAAGCCUAAAUACAUACAAAUCUUGAGAACUAUUAUUUCUUGGAACAAGGGGUUAGAUAGGGAGAGAAAGAAAUAGGACUUUUCUCAUUUUUUGAUUUUGAUUUGAAGCAGGCAAAUGCAUUACUCAUUCAGAAACUAAAGAAAAGGAAUUCCCGUCAUGGCUCAGCAGGUAAAGAAUGCAACUUGUAUCCAUGAAGGUGUAGUUUCAAUUCCUGGCCUCGCUCAGUGGGUUAAGUAUACAGUGUUGCCAUGAACUGUAGUGUAGGUUGUAGAUGCAGCUCGCAUCCCGAGUUGCUGUGGCUCUGGUGUAGGCCAGAGCUGUGGCUCUGAUUCAAUUCCAUCCUUAGCCUGGGAACUUCCAUAUGCGGCUGGCGAANCCUUCUCCUUUUUUUUUUUUUUUUAGGGCCUCAUGUGU